GAAGGGAAUUACACACAUGUUCAGGCCAUGUAAAAAUUUCCAAACUGCUAAGAUCAUGACCUGAUAUCGAUUAUUAUUUAGCCUAGUGCAGUGGUCUAAGCUGUCUUUGACGUGAAUGAAGCCAUGUGAAAGAUAGUCUAGAUGAGUGUAAUUCAUUCAUGCCUGCAUUCAUUCAACAAGCAUGUGCUGAUUGACAGUCAUAUGCCAUUCAUUGAUGGUAAGGUGGAUUGACUUCCCUCUUCUUAAGAGGAUGAGCACUUCUAGUUGCUUUCUAGUGAUGGUGAUGGGUUUUCCUGAUGCACAGCUUGCCUAGAGACUGCUUGUGAACCAGGAUACUCAUUUUCCAAGGAUAGUUGAGUAAGGAGUGCAAGGAAGACUGUUAAAGUAGAGGGACAGUCAACGACCCAGGCCUCCUGGCCACCAUGUUCUGAUCAGUUAGGCUGCUGGACUCAGCUGUGAAGUGGCUUGUGAUAAUGGCAAAAGCUACAAGUCAGGCUGAUUUGUAAAAUUUUAUACAUGGAUGAAGGAGUCUUCUCUAAGUCCUUGACAGUUGACCCCAUAUUGAGGGAGCUGCAUAGGUGAUAGGUACCUACCACUACAAACCCUCUUUAUGGGAACAUGAGCUCCAGUAGAUGACAUUCAGUGUGGACUCCAUCAGUGAUUCAUGUGUCACUCCUAAAGAAUAGAAUAAGUGGGCCGGGCACGGUAGUUCACGCCUGUAAUCCCUGUACUUUGGGAGUAUAAGGUGGGCAGAUCAUGAGGUCAAGAGAUGGAGACCAGCCUGGCCAACAUGGUAAAACCCCGCCUCUACUAAAAAUAUAAAAAUUAGCUGGCACUGCACUCCAGCAUGGUGACAAAGUGAGACUCUCUCCAAAAGAAAAAGAACACGCAUGAGGCCAGGUGCUGUGGCUUACACUUGUAAUCCUAGCAUUUGGGAAGCCAACGGGGGUGGAUCACUUGAGGCCAGGAGUGCCCGGUCAACAUGGGGAAACCUCGUCUCUAUAAAAAAAAAAAAAAAAAUUAGUCAGGUGUGGUGGUGCAUGCUUGUAAUCCCAGAUACUGGGGAGGGUAAGGCAUGAGAAUGACUUG
rnacentral:lncRNA from 10 species